rnacentral:rRNA from 1 species
GAUCCUGGCUCAGGAUGAACGCUGGCGGCGUGCCUAACACAUGCAAGUCGAGCGAAGCACUUUGCUUAGAUUCUUCGGAUGAAGAGGAUUGUGACUGAGCGGGCGGACGGGUGAGUAACGCGUGGGUAACCUGCCUCAUACAGGGGGAUAACAGUUAGAAAUGACUGCUAAUACCGCAUAAGACCACAGCACCGCCAUGGUGCGGGGGUAAAACGACCGUCGGUGUGNGAUGCCGG